rnacentral:rRNA from 1 species
AGAGUUUGAUUAUGGCUCAGGAUGAACGCUAGCGAUAGGCCUAACACAUGCAAGUCGAGGGGCAGCACAUGAAGUUGCAAUACGGAUGGUGGCGACCGGCGCACGGGUGAGUAACGCGUAUGCAACCUGCCUACAACAGGGGAAUAACCCGUUGAAAGACGGACUAAUACCCCAUAACACAGGGACCCCGCAUGGGAAUAUUUGUUAAAGAUUUAUCGGUUGUAGAUGGGCAUGCGUUCCAUUAGCUGGUUGGUGAGGUAACGGCUCACCAAGGCAACGAUGGAUAGGGGAACUGAGAGGUUUAUCCCCCACACUGGUACUGAGACACGGACCAGACUCCUACGGGAGGCAGCAGUGAGGAAUAUUGGUCAAUGGACGCAAGUCUGAACCAGCCACGUCGCGUGAAGGAAGACGGCCCUACGGGUUGUAAACUUCUUUUGUAAGGGAAUAAAGUGCAGUACGUGUACUGUUUUGCAUGUACCUUACGAAUAAGGAUCGGCUAACUCCGUGCCAGCAGCCGCGGUAAUACGGAGGAUCCGAGCGUUAUCCGGAUUUAUUGGGUUUAAAGGGUGCGCAGGCGGGAGAUUAAGUCGGCGGUGAAAUUUUGCAGCUCAACAGUAAAAGUGCCUUCGAAACUGGUUUUCUUGAGUGUGGAUGAAGUAGGCGGAAUUUGUGGUGUAGCGGUGAAAUGCAUAGAUAUCACGAGGAACUCCGAUUGCGCAGGCAGCUUACUAAACCAUAACUGACGCUCAGGCACGAAGGCGUGGGGAUCAAACAGGAUUAGAUACCCUGGUAGUC